AAUGGGGGCAACCCUGAUCCAGCAAUGCCGCGUGUGUGAUGAAGGCCUUAGGGUUGUAAAGCACUUUCACUGGUGAAGAUGAUGACGGUAACCAGAGAAGAAGCCCCGGCUAACUUCGUGCCAGCAGCCGCGGUAAUACGAAGGGGGCGAGCGUUGUUCGGAAUUACUGGGCGUAAAGGGCGCGUAGGCGGUCUUUUAAGUUAGGCGUGAAAGCCCCGGGCUCAACCUGGGAACUGCGCUUAAGACUGGAAGACUAGAAAACGGAAGAGGGUAGUGGAAUUCCCAGUGUAGAGGUGAAAUUCGUAGAUAUUGGGAAGAACACCAGUGGCGAAAGCGGCUACCUGGUCCGAUUUUGACGCUGAGGCGCGAAAGCGUGGGGAGCAAACAGGAUU
rnacentral:rRNA from 1 species